GAUGAACGCUGGCGGCGUGCCUAAUACAUGCAAGUCGAGCGAACAGAUGAGAAGCUUGCUUCUCUGAUGUUAGCGGCGGACGGGUGAGUAACACGUGGGUGACCUACCUAUAAGACUGGGAUAACUCCGGGAAACCGGGGCUAAUACCGGAUAAUAUUUUGAACCGCAUGGUUCAAUAGUGAAAGACGGUUUCGGCUGUCACUUAUAGAUGGACCCGCGCCGUAUUAGCUAGUUGGUAAGGUAACGGCUUACCAAGGCGACGAUACGUAGCCGACCUGAGAGGGUGAUCGGCCACACUGGAACUGAGACACGGUCCAGACUCCUACGGGAGGCAGCAGUAGGGAAUCUUCCGCAAUGGGCGAACGCCUGACGGAGCAACGCCGCGUGAGUGAUGAAGGUCUUCGGAUCGUAAAACUCUGUUGUUAGGGAAGAACAAAUUUGUUAGUAACUGAACAAGUCUUGACGGUACCUAACCAGAAAGCCACGGCUAACUACGUGCCAGCCGCCGCGGUAA
rnacentral:rRNA from 1 species